GUUGGGAGUUGGCUGGCAGCCAUCUUGGGGAGCUGUACUGACAGGAGGUGCUGUGAAACAAGGCCGGUGCUGCUGCUGUGAUUCCUAACCAGGGAGGCAGGGCAGAGCCGCGGCUCCCUGAAGUAGGGUAGAGCCGGAGGGGCAGCAAUGGGAAGUAAGGACUUGAGUUACAGGUCAGCCCCAACCCAGCCUCUCUGCUGUCAAGGUGCCUGAGCGACAGCCACAGUAUCUGAGUGAGUGCCAGCCGGUGGGAGGAGACAGAGACAUUGUUUUGCUAUAGCUGUGGACUGAGGGAUGAUCGGUCGGCUCACAGUGGCUAAUUACAGGACAAAAAGAGAGCUUGUACCACACCACAUACAGCAGAGCCCUAAUUACAGUACCCACAUCUAUUGGAUCAUUGGAGGAAAGAUUCCCAGCCUGACUAUUGGACACCGGGAAUGGGACUUGUCACAGCACGGAUAGCAUGGGCAGAGCUGGGAAAGCUAAGCAGCAGCCCCUGGAUGUAUAGUAUACUGGGGUACAGCACAAAAUAUAUUUUUUAAUACUAGUCCAAAGCCCGUGGAUGGAUGGACAGAAUACCCCUAGAUGGACGGAGCAGCAGCAGCCCUUGGUUGUAUAUACUGGGAGGACGGACACAGCACAAAAUAUAAAAAAAAGAAUGUAUUUUUUUUUUAAAUUACGCAUUAGGCAAGGCUCAAGAUUUCAGUUCACAAAAGAUGAA